UGAACUAUAGAAUUAAUAUUGAACAAAUGUCAUAAUAAAGUUUUAAUUAACAAAAUUUAUGUUGCUUUCUUUUAAUUAAUUUUCAUGUUCACAACAUCAAGGAAUGGACUAUAAAAAAAGGGCUCUAAGGAUCUCUAAGGCCCAUUAGGCGCUCAACCAACAAGAGAAACAGAUUGGGCCUGAUUUCGUGAAGCCCAAGGGUCAAAGCCGGGACUUGGUCUGAUCCAAGAAUGAGGUCGGAUCUCUUACCGAACCUUUUGUCCUUCCACAGAGCAGCCGAAGAGGAAAGAAAAGAAACCUCUUUAUAAUUCCAAAGGCCACACGGGAAAUCGAUGAAACCGAGGCAGCCAUUAAUGACCACGGCGGAGAACCUCGGGCAGUGAGUGAGGAUAGAUUCCUCAUCAAUGCCACCUUAACACGCGUUUAAAGCCAAACAAAGAUCGGCAACGAAAUAAAGGCUCUCAAACUUCUGUUUUUUCAUCUAACUCUCCGUUUAUUUGCAAAGACUCGUUAUCUUCUUUAACAGAGCUCUUAAGACAAUCCCAAAAAUUUCAUUUCAAACAACAGCCAGACGGCAUCAACAUAUAUCAGAGACUAUGAAUAACCAUGGAGUUCUAUUAUAAAAUCUAAAGAUUCAAACACAACACAAGCAACUCAAAACGACAUACAUGGAUAGGCCAUAGAAACGUGAGGCGCAAAUCAAACGGAACGAGAAACUGGGCCACGCAUACACUCAAUAUUGUCAAAAUUGAAUUAGAUCAAAGAGUAAAGGGUUAAGAUUUUACCAACUCAAGAAGCUUCAGAGACGAAUAGAUAGGUAUGUGUUAUGUCUGCUCUUCCUUCUUCUCCGAUCUUCUUUUACGGUGCUUUCUCGUUCGUAUUCCCUUGAAGGAUUUGAGCUCUUCAGCUUUGGUUUUCAGUGUGAAAAUCAAAGCUGAGGGUUUUUUUUUAAUUGAGCUUUGAGUACAAGUUUCAGGGGAAUUUCAGCAGAGGUUCGAUAUCUCCCAUUUUCUCAAUGGGUGAGGCUCCCUUAUAUAGAGAGGUGGCACAAGGUUCGUACGUAGUAUGAGCUGGCGGCUCCAGCGGAUCAUUUCGUUUUGAAAACGAAUUUUCUCAGAUUUGUUGUGGUCCCUCAAAUGUGGUUGGUACACACAUUUUGUUUUUAGUGAAAGGAGUAGCUUUUUGUGCUAAUCUUCACUGCAUUCUUACCACUGUAACUCUUGGUUUCGCUUAUGGGUGGUCUUCUUUAUUACAAAAAUUGGUAGACGACACACUUUCUGCAACAAGCUUAUUGCAAUAUUGGUUAGGGCUUGAUGAUCAGUCGUCGUAGACUUGCACUCUGAUUUUGCAGCAGGUUGGUGUUGCCUUUGGCAGCAUGGUUCUCGUAGCCAAAUGGAUUACAUGAACUGCCAUGGUUUUGAUCAUCCUUCAAUCUCUGAUACAUGGAGACAGCUGACACCAGAUUGGUGAACACUUUUCAAAAGAUUUGUUCGGCAUUGAAGAGGUCACAUUUGCGGUAGAACUGAUGCUUCCAGCCUUGUCCCUUGGCUUUUGAAGUCUCCAUCUCGUUAUUUAAUUUUUCCUUUGAUAAACCACGACUGUAAAAUCUCCAUUGCCUGCCCUCCUGACUUCCUCCACUUGUGCGUGAUUGUCUCUAACAAUAAGGAACUUUUCUUCAUCCCAAACCAAAACUCUUGUAGCAUCCGAACAAGCAACAAUAACAAACAAAAUCAAUAUCCUGGAACCCGAACAUUUAACAAGAAAAGUGGUGACUGUAAGAUAUCUCCAUCUAUCCUUACGUUCGUCUCUGGCCAAGAUCACUAAUUCCAGCUUCCCUUCUGCAUUGCUAUUGGAGCUGCUGCUAGAUGUUUCUUAUAAGUUUCGUUCGUGUAGUUGUUUGCAGUUCCAUUUGGAGUGUUGCGCUUUGGUUCGUUGUAGCUUUAACUUUUGGAGGCUUGCGCUUUGGUUCGUUGCGCUUUCGUUCGUGUAGUUGUUUGCUGGUCUGAUUGUUAUAAGGGUUUAAGUCACGGUGAUGGCGAAUUCAUGAUGCUUGGCUUGGCUUUGUUGUUGUAGUGUUUCCAGGCUGAUGUAGAGCAACAACAUUUUGCCCUGUUUGGCCUUUAGGGCCUUUACGGUAUUACAAACGUAUUGCAGGCGAUGCUUGUUACAACGUUCACAUCGGCGGUGUGUUGCGCAGCAAGGUUGUUACCUACCAUGGUUCAUUCGUCUCCUUAGGGUGUGACGGUUCAUUCUCGAAAUAACCGUGCUAUAAGGAUUGGAAAUUGGAGCCUUCACCAAUGAUUUCAACAAAAAUCAAAGCAGAGCUUGAGGAUGUGAUCAAGAUUAGGAUGAUUUGCUGUCUUCUUUUUGGUUUAAACUUUUUAAUUUUACUUCGAACAGUAAAUCCCUUUUUCUUGGAUGGUAAUUCAUGGCUCUUGCUUCGAAUCUUUAUGGUUUAAACAGUACGUCUUCGACUGAAA